GCAUAUCAAUAAGCGGAGGAAAAGAAACCAACAGGGAUUGCCCUAGUAACGGCGAGUGAAGCGGCAACAGCUCAAAUUUGAAAUCUGGCCCCCGGGUCCGAGUUGUAAUUUGUAGAGGAUGCUUUUGGUGCGGUACCUUCCGAGUUCCCUGGAACGGGACGCCAUAGAGGGUGAGAGCCCCGUCUGGUUGGACGCCAAUCCUUUGUAAAGCUCCUUCGACGAGUCGAGUAGUUUGGGAAUGCUGCUCUAAAUGGGAGGUAUAUGUCUUCUAAAGCUAAAUAUUGGCCAGAGACCGAUAGCGCACAAGUAGAGUGAUCGAAAGAUGAAAAGCACUUUGAAAAGAGAGUUAAAAAGUACGUGAAAUUGUUGAAAGGGAAGCGCUCAUGACCAGACUUGGGCCCGGUUGAUCAUCCAGGGUUCUCCCUGGUGCACUCUUCCGGCCCAGGCCAGCAUCAGUUCGCUGUGGGGGAUAAAGGCUUCGGGAAUGUGGCUCCUCCGGGAGUGUUAUAGCCCGCUGCGUAAUACCCUGUGGCGGACUGAGGUUCGCGCAUCUGCAAGGAUGCUGGCGUAAUGGUCAUCAGCGACCCGUCUUGAAACACGGACCAAGGAGUCGUCUUCGUAUGCGAGUGUUCGGGUGUUAAACCCCUACGCGGAAUGAAAGUGAACGCAGGUGAGAGCUUCGGCGCAUCAUCGACCGAUCCUGAUGUUCUCGGAUGGAUUUGAGUAAGAGCAUACGGGGCCGGACCCGAAAGAAGGUGAACUAUGCCUGUAUAGGGUGAAGCCAGAGGAAACUCUGGUGGAGGCUCGCAGCGGUUCUGACGUGCAAAUCGAUCGUCAAAUAUGGGCAUGGGGGCGAAAGACUAAUCGAACCUUCUAGUAGCUGGUUUCCGCCGAAG
rnacentral:rRNA from 1 species